rnacentral:rRNA from 1 species
UUAAGCUAAUAAGAGCGCAGGGUGGAUGCCUUGGCACUAAGAGCCGAAGAAAGACGUGAUAAGCUGCGAAAAGCUGCGGGGAGGAGCAAAUGUCCACUGAUCCGCAGAUGUCUGAAUGGGGAAACCCGUCUGGAAGAACUCCAGUCACUGCAUGCUGAAUACAUAGGCAUGCAGGGGGAACCCGGUGAACUGAAACAUCUAAGUAGCCGGAGGAAAAGAAAGAAAAAUCGAUUUCCAAAGUAGCGGCGAGCGAAAUGGAAGGAGCCCAAACCGGGAUGCGUGCAUUCCGGGGUUAUGGACCGCAAGAAGUGACCCGUAAGAUAGAAGAAUGGCAUUGGGAAAGCCAGCCACAGAGGGUGAAAGCCCCGUAUUCGAAAUCAGAAGGGAGCGAGCGGAAUCCGAAGUACUACGAGACACGUGGAACCUUGUAGGAAAUCGGGGGGACCACCCCCCAAGGCUAAAUACUCCUUAGUGACCGAUAGCGCAUAGUACUGUGAAGGAACGGUGAAAAGAACCCCGGGAGGGGAGUGAAAGAGAACCUGAAACCCUGUGUUUACAAGCUGUGGAAGAGCUUUACAUGCUCAACCGCGUACUUUUUGUAGAACGGUCCGGCGAGUUACUCUUACUGGCAAGGUUAAGCACCAAAGGUGUGGAGCCGAAGGGAAACCAAGUCUUAACAGGGCGAGUUAGUCAGUGUGAGUAGACCCGAAACCGGGUGACCUACCCAUGUCCAGGAUGAAGUUGCCGUAAAAGGCAAUGGAGGUCCGAACACACAUCCGUUGAAAAGGGUGGUGAUGAGGUGUGGGUAGCGGAGAAAUUCCAAUCGAACCCGGAGAUAGCUGGUUCUCCUCGAAAUAGCUUUAGGGCUAGCCUCAAUUUAGUCUUGCGGAGGUAGAGCACUGAAUAUCCUAGGGGGCGUCAAAGCUUACCGAAGAUUAUCAAACUCCGAAUGCCGUAAAGAUGAUGAUUGGGAGUCAGACUGCACGAGAUAAGUUGGGUAGUCAAAAGGGAAACAGCCCAGACCUCCAGCUAAGGUCCCAAAGUGAGUGUUAAGUGGAAAAGGAUGUGGGAUUUCGAAGACAACUAGGAUGUUGGCUCAGAAGCAGCCAUUCAUUCAAAGAGUGCGUAAUAGCUCACUAGUCGAGAGGUCCUGCGCCGAAAAUGUCCGGGGCUAAACACUACACCGAAGCUGAGGAAUGACAAUGUCAUUGGUAGAGGAGCAUUCUUAACUGCGACGAAGCUGUACCGAAAGGAGCAGUGGAGUGUUAAGAAGAGAGAAUGCCGGAAUGAGUAGCGAGAGUGAGGUGAGAAUCCUCACGGCCGAAUAUCUAAGGUUUCCAGGGUAAAGCUGAUCUGCCCUGGGUAAGUCGGGACCUAAGGCGAGGUCGAAAGACGUAGUCGAUGGACAACAGGUUGAAAUUCCUGUACUGCAAUGUAUCAGAAAUGUGGGGACACAGACAGAGAGCCGGAGCCGGGAAUGGAGAAACCGGUGCAAGCGAGGUAGGAGAACAGCAGGCAAAUCCGCUGUUCAAUCUGAAGACGUGACGCGGAGCGAAAUUAAAGUAGCGAAGCCGGUGAGCUGGCUGUCAGGAAAAGCCGCUAUUGUGUACAUUGUACCCGUACCGUAAACCGACACAGGUGGAUGAGGAGAGAAUCCUAAGGCCGACGGAAGAAGCAUUGUUAAGGAACUCGGCAAAAUGGCCCCGUAACUUCGGGAUAAGGGGUGCCUACGAAGGUAGGCCGCAGAGAAUUGGCCCAAGCAACUGUUUAGCAAAAACACAGGUCUAUGCGAAACCGUAAGGUGAUGUAUAUGGGCUGACGCCUGCCCGGUGCUGGAAGGUUAAGAGGAGAGGUUAGAGCAAUCGAAGCUUUGAAUUGAAGCCCCAGUAAACGGCGGCCGUAACUAUAACGGUCCUAAGGUAGCGAAAUUCCUUGUCGGGUAAGUUC